rnacentral:rRNA from 1 species
GGUGAGUCGACCCCUAAGGUGAGGCCGAAAGGCGUAAUCGAUGGGAAACGGGUUAAUAUUCCCGUACUUCUGACUAUUGCGAUGGGGGGACGGAGAAGGCUAGGUGAGCCAGGCGACGGUUGUCCUGGUUCAAGUGCGUAGGCUUGAGAGUUAGGUAAAUCCGGCUCUCUCUAAGGCUGAGACACGACGUCGAGCUGCUACGGUAGUGAAGUCAUUGAUGCCAUGCUUCCAGGAAAAGCCUCUAAGCUUCAGAUAGUCAGGAAUCGUACCCCAAACCGACACAGGUGGUCGGGUAGAGAAUACCAAGGCG